ACCAAAUGAAAUAACUGAAAUAAAUUUCGUACUUUCCGCCGCCAACAAGAAUUGCACACACGAUCUGAUAAGUGAGACAAUUUAUUUAUAACAAUGCCAAUGGCGAUAGCGAAGCACACAUAAUAUAAAUGCUAAUGUGGUUGCACGACUUCCCUCACGAUUUGAAGUUUGAGACUGGUUUUCUGUUGAAAAGAUUCUUUCUAUACCGUUAUUACUUUUUUCAAGAUCUAAAAGAAUCAAAAUUUUUUUCAUGAUUGUCGGACGUCUGCGAUUAAGACAGUAAGUAGCAAGUAGCAACGAAGUGAGAAGCGUUGCUGUCAUUGGCUGGAAGUGAUCCUAUUAAAUAUUAAGCUGUGAAUCAAAAUUGAGUCAAAAUUGAAUCAAUCAUCAAAACAAAUAAAGCUGGCUAUAUUUGAUUGAAAAAUACCAAUAUAUGAUUUUUAACUCCAUUUUUUAAAAUGAAGCCAAAAUAAGCCAGAAAAUAAAGAUAAGCCAAACGAAAUUUUCCAAAGCCAAGCGCAAGAAAAAUAAGCCAAAAUCGAGAAAUCUGGCUUAAAAAGAGCCAAGUUGGCAACCCUUGAAACAACUAUAUAAAUAGCGAAAUUGCCCUAAGGGACCAGUCAUAAAGUAAAAGGGGGUGGACUGAGAAAAAUAGGGGGUGGGUAACUAUUUUUGAGCACGGUUGAAGGGGUGGGUCAUCGAAAGUUAAUUGCAAAAAUAUGCAGAAAUUUUUCAAGGGCACGUGUAUUAAAAUUCAUACUAUAAAAAUAGAAAUAAAAUGUAUCAGGAUCCAUGUGUAGAAUUUAUACCGCAAACGUUAACCUCAUACUGUCUUGGCUAAUCAGUGGCGGACACUAGGGGGUUUGAGCCCCCCCCCCAAAAAAAAAAAUUUGAAAGACUGUAAAAAUGUUACACCAAAUAACACAAAUCACACUCAUAUAACGUAAUUGUUGCCAUAAUAUAAUGAUAUAUGUUUCUGUACUGUACAUGUCACAACAUACGCAUUUUAUACACUCUUUUUGAUAGAUACUAGGGGGUCAACUUUUUGCAACAGGCACUUCUUUAAAUGUCAUUGUCGAUUUUUUGUUGUUUCAGAAGCUUAUACCAUUGUUUAGCGGCGAAAUUUCCUAGUGCUACACAAUAAUUAUUAGAACAUAUCAUUGCAACAAAUCGGGUUUUUUUUGUUUUUGAAAUUGCUACUUUUUGGCGGGUAAAUUGUGUCCAGUGGCGGCGUCACGGGGAGGACUGGGGAGGACACGUCCCCCCCAGUUCUCUUCAAGGUCAAUUUUCUAAUUUGUCCAAAUCCGGUGAGAAAAAUAGGGGGAGGGGGGUACGUAUGUGACAUCAGUCCAGUUAUGUGAAUAAAAACCGGUAUUAAAAGAUUUACUUUUGACAAAAGACCAUUUCAUUAUUUCAUAUAUGCGGUAUUUACCAUUAGCAUAGUACAGGCGCUGAUUUCGACCGCCGAAGGAAACCAUAAUGGGUUAAUAUAUUUAAUAAUAAAAUUAUGUUGACUUCAAUUUUCACAUCAAAGUAAAGUCAUAGUUUUUAUAUAUACAUAUAUAAUCAUGAAAAUAUCGUGUGAUUUGUUCACUUUAUAAUCUUCGGAAUUCUGUAUAAUCUUACCCUGAAAAUGCAGGAAAUCGUUUUUCAGGGAGUCUAGAUUUCAAAAAUUUUCCGGGGGGGCAUGCCCCCGGACCCCCCUAGAAGUUCCUCGCGCCUUUGCCGCUCGAAAAUCCACCCCACUUUUAAAAGGCUGGCGCCGCCACUGAUUGUGUCACAAACUUGGCGCCAAAAAACUAAAAAUAAGCUAUAUUGGUGAUUUCAUAAAUAAUAAAACUGAAAUCUGUUUCUAAAUACGACCGUUUUGAUCUCUUCAAACUGUGUGAAAUUCAUACGAUUGAUAAUACACGUAGGCUUUCUUUACAAUAAUUUAUUUGAAUGAGUUUGUUUUGGCCGUCGUGGCGUCGCUUUGCCGUCCUACAUCUUUAGACUUUAAGGUCUAUAAAUUCAAUGAUGCGAAGUCAAAGGCUCACAGCCUGGAUAACCGGCCUGGCAUUAAAAUCUCAUUUAAGUACUUUGAUAUUAUUUUAAGAUAACCCUUUAUUUCUUAACUAGUUAAUCUUGCUGAUAAAGUAUUAGUUUUGAAUAAAAAAUCUGUACAAUUAGUGAAUAAACUGAAUAAGGCCACAUAAAAUAAAUUCCUUGAUUCUCAUCACUACACUUUGAAAAUGUCGGAGAGGCG